GCAGGCAGUUGACGAUCAGAUCAUUUUGCCGUCAAUCAGGCCUACAUUUCCGCCUGCCACGUGGGUGUGUGGAGCAUAUAAGCUUAGUGUCUCUUGUUGAUUCCUUGUGGCUUUGGAAGCCCCAUCAAUCACAAUUCUGGUAGACCUGUUUCGUGGAAACAGAAGUACGCUAGAGAAUGGGCCUGGGAUCCUUUCGAAGUUGGAAAACACGUGAAGUUCCCCCUGAGAAUUGCUCAUUCAACUGAAUGUUGCCCUUCGGUGUCGGAAAUCGUUCAGCCAAUGGGAGGAGUUUCGAGAUCUGGCCGAAUUCUCGAGCUUUACCACGACAGAAAUUCCACGCAAAAAUUUUACCAAACUUCCUGUCUGGAAGAAGUGAGGGGGCGUCCUUGUCGCUUCCUUUCUCCUCCUCUGAUACAUCAUUCUCAUUGUAUUCAAAAGUAUAGCUUUACUUAUGCCUUGGUUAGAGAGUAUGGCACAAAUGUUACCUGGCGUUUAGAUUAUAUUAGAAUUCGAAGCGGUUGUACAUGUGAGAUCAAUAACAUUGCAAUGAUAGUUUAGUUAUGCUAAAACAUAAAAGAUUUAAGAUAUUAGAAUAAAUGAAACCUCCGAAAUUUAAAACAAUAAAUUUUAAAAAUAUAAUAUUUGUUAGAUGCUUGCUUAAAUCGAAGAGUUAAUUUUUCUUCAAUGAAUAUAUAUAUAGAUUACAGGAAGAUAACAGAAAUCUUAGAAAUAAUGAUAGUCAGGUAAUCAAAUACUUGAUAGUGCUUGUUGCUAGAAAUUUAGUGAACUAAUUUGAUUAAAGUUAGAGUAAUUCUAGUAUUGAAAAAUGAAACACAAUUUUACCGAAUUACGGGAAACUUAUUACACAACUGUUUCUGGAAUAUUUACUUGAGUUCCUGAAAGCCUUGCAUUGUGAUGAAUUCGAGUGAGAUGAACAUUGCAUAUUCUGAAUAAUAUAUAUAUAUAUAUUCUGUAAAUUAAAUACAACAAAAUAAUAACUCCUUAAUAAAGAUAUUUAUU